rnacentral:rRNA from 1 species
UACGAAGGGGGCUAGCGUUGCUCGGAAUGACUGGGCGUAAAGGGCGCGUAGGCGGAUGGCACAGUCAGAUGUGAAAUUCCCGGGCUUAACCUGGGGGCUGCAUUUGAUACGUGUGAUCUAGAGUGAGGAAGAGGGUCGUGGAAUUCCCAGUGUAGAGGUGAAAUUCGUAGAUAUUGGGAAGAACACCAGUGGCGAAGGCGGCUCACUGGCCCGGAACUGACGCUGAGACGCGAAAGCGUGGGGAGCAAACAGG